rnacentral:rRNA from 1 species
CUGCCGCCGGCGACCGGCGCACGGGUGAGUAACACGUAUGCAACCUGGCCGUGACAGAUGGAUAACCGGGAGAAAUCCCGCCUAAUACAACAUAAUGCCGGGAGGGGACAUCCCCUGCCGGUCAAAGGGGGCGACCCCGGUCACGGAUGGGCAUGCGGCGCAUUAGGUAGUUGGUGGGGCAACGGCCCACCAAGCCGACGAUGCGUAGGGGUUCUGAGAGGAAGGUCCCCCACAUUGGAACUGAGACACGGUCCAAACUCCUACGGGAGGCAGCAG